GAUAAGGUGAAGCUACCUGGUGGUGCAAUCCAUGUUUUUGAGUAAUCUAUCAAAUAAUUUAUUUAUAAAAUGCGUGCCACCGUCACUUAUAACUACUCGAAGAACUCUGAAUCUCAGAAAAUGAUGUUUUUGAAUAGUUUUACGACCACAACAACAUCAUUUGUUGGGGAGGCUACAACUUCUUCCCAUUUAGAUACAUAGUCAACAGCGACAGGAAUAUACUUGUUCCCAUACGAAGAAGGAAAAUGGCCCAUAAAAUCGAUUCCCC
rnacentral:lncRNA from 1 species